rnacentral:rRNA from 1 species
GACGAACGCUGGCGGCGUGCCUAAUACAUGCAAGUCGAGCGCAGGAAACUGACGGAACUCUUCGGAGGGAAGGCAGUGGAAUGAGCGGCGGACGGGUGAGUAACACGUAAGGAACCUGCCUCAAGGAUUGGGAUAACUCCGAGAAAUCGGAGCUAAUACCGGAUAGUUCAACGGACCGCAUGGUCCGCUGAUGAAAGGCGCUCCGGCGUCACCUUGAGAUGGCCUUGCGGUGCAUUAGCUAGUUGGUGGGGUAACGGCUCACCAAGGCGACGAGGCAUAGCCGGCCUGAGAGGGUGAUCGGGCACACUGGGACUGAGACACGGCCCAGACUCCUACGGGAGGCAGCAGUAGGGAAUCUUCCACAAUGGACGAAAGUCUGAUGGAGCAACGCCGCGUGAGUGAUGAAGGUUUUCGGAUCGUAAAACUCUGUUGUAAGGGAAGAACACGUACGAGAGGAAAUGCUCGUACCUUGACGGUACCUUACGAGAAAGCCACGGCUAACUACGUGCCAGCCGCCGCCGUAAUAC